ACAAGUGAAAUUUCACAAAUGGGAAAGCUUACGAGGCGAUUCACUCAUUCAGUACCAGCCAAUACUGGACCAAGUCUGAAGAGACGUUUAAAAACGUCUUUGGGAGUGAAUGAAUUAAAGGCGGGGCGCAGCGAAACCUCUGAAUUCAGCGCUCAAUCAAAUUCGAUGAAGAAAAGCGAUGAAUUCAGAAACUUGAGUGGCUGAAGAAAGUGUCAUCAUUCAUUGCUCAGUCUGACUGGAAUGAGAUUUUCACUGUCCAGAUUAGUCUCUGAAUUCCAAGACGGUCUAAUCGGAUGAGUCUCUCUCAAUUCAGAGACUUCCAUCCAGCGAUGGGAAAAUGACGCUUCAAAGUUGGUUCCUGAACCGGUUGGAUUUUUUUUUUGACUCUUCCAGAUGGCACCCUCUGUUCCAACAUUGGGCUGAAAGCACGCAGACUCACUUUUUCUUUAUUUCAACCAACAGUGCCAUCUACAGGAGCCAAAAA